AACAAUUAUUUUCAAUUUUACUAUUAUAAUUAAAUUUCCACUAAGUGAAUAAAAAGUGUAGAAAUGUUUAUUUAGAGGUCCAGGCACCCCUUGAAAUGGAUCGUCCCAAUUUCUGAACCUGCCGUUAACAUCCCACCCCUAUCAAUCAAAUUUAGCUGUUAAAGAGCCUUCUAUGUUCACCCUGAACGAACCACCGUCAGCUCAUCCAAAAUCCACUGUGGGGUCUGCCAGCUCAACUAUCAAGCGGAUCUUUCCACCUUUAUCCACCUGGAGACCCCUGAGGUCGGUGAUGCCGUACAUGAAGGCAAUUUUCUCAUACUGGUCUGGCCUGGCGUUCUUCAGGAUCUCCCACACAUCCACCUCUGGGGUGUCGUCUUGCUGUUUGUGCUCCCUAGUUUCGCCAUGUACAAGACUUCCACAUUUGCAUUUCAGUAAAUGGUGGAUAUGGGGAAGUGGGCCUGACGGUGGCAUAUCCAGUUGGUAAUUCGUGGAACAUAAGAAGAAACCGAAACAUGAAGGAGCUGCUUUGAGAAGGACUACACUGACACCCUCUGGUUUUUAAGUAAAAUGUGAAAAGAGAGAGUGUACAGUAGAUCUACGAAUCUCCUCCGUGGCCCUUCUGCAGCGAUGUCAGCGUGUCCCGGCUGAACUGGUAGAGCGCCGCCACCUGGUCUUUGUUCCUGGAGGAGAAGCUGAACACGCCGGGCGGCGCCGGCGCCCAGGACAGGCAGUGGGCCAUGCUCGGGUCCUGCAGCAUCUCAAACAGGAAGUGGAAGAGCCGCAGCCUUCUGCCUGCAGGUGUUGAGCAAACCGUGAGCGGCACACGUGACGAAAGGGGAUUUAAAGGGGAGAGGUUUAAUAGAAAAUUCACAGCAGUUAAUGCUGGUUACAGUUAAUCAUUCCCUCAACUACAUCCAUUCCCAGAAAAUCUCUUAAGAGAUCAUAGAUCUGUAUGUCAGCGGCCAGGACUUGUAAACACUGCGGUUAUCUGAUAGAUAUGUAAAAUAAGCUGGUGCGCUAAGCCAAGCACAGCUCCAUUGUGUUUUACAGUAAAGGGCAGGUCUCUUA